GGCAACGCUGCUUCCUAAGAAAGUUUUAAUUGUCAGUCUUCAAGCACAGUCCCUUUGUAUUCCUGCCAGAACUCUCAUGUAUGUCUGUGCUUGCUUGGGUAGCUGCAUAGGAAAUGAAGACUGUUAAUGAGUUUCUUCUUUUGUCAGACUCAUGUACUUCCAAAGAGCAAAAAAUCAGACAGACUACAGGUGCUUGUUCUGCCAGUUGCUCUUUCUUCAGAUGGUGAUCUCAGAAAACUUGGAAGUGCUGCUCAUUUUAGCUGACACAAGAUUCAGUGCUUUUUGAGUUGUAUCUAUGCUCAACAAUUCUUAAUGUUUGAAAUGGAUAAAAGAUAUUUCCUGAUGAAUCAUCAAAUAAAUUUAGCUUAAGAUUUGCCAGAAAAAUUCACAUCUGGAUUCUAACCAUCCUUAGAAAUUUUUAGCACCAAAAUUGAAUGCAUAGUCUAAAAUGCAAAACUCAACUAAUUUCAGCCAGAGUCUGUUAAUAUGUACUGUCAAGGAAUACAUUCUCUUUGUUGUGUUGCU